GAUGAACGCUGGCGGCGUGCCUAAUACAUGCAAGUCGAGCGAACGGACGAGAAGCUUGCUUCUCUGAUGUUAGCGGCGGACGGGUGAGUAACACGUGGAUAACCUACCUAUAAGACUGGGAUAACUUCGGGAAACCGGAGCUAAUACCGGAUAAUAUUUUGAACCGCAUGGUUCAAAAGUGAAAGACGGUCUUGCUGUCACUUAUAGAUGGAUCCGCGCUGCAUUAGCUAGUUGGUAAGGUCACGGCUUACCAAGGCAACGAUGCAUAGCCGACCUGAGAGGGUGGUAGGCCACCCUGGAACGGAGACAGGGUCCCGGCUCCUACGGGAGGCAGCAGUAGGGAAUCUUCCGCAGUGGGCGAAAGCCUGACGGAGCAACGCCGCGUGAGUGGUGAAGGUCUUCGGAUCGUAAAACUCUGUUAUUAGGGAAAAACAUAUGUGUAAGUAACUGUGCACAUCUUGACGGUACCUAAUCAGAAAGCCACGGCUAACUACGUG
rnacentral:rRNA from 1 species